rnacentral:rRNA from 1 species
GGCAGCCUACGGGAGGCAGCAGUGAGGAAUAUUGGUCAAUGGGCGGAAGCCUGAACCAGCCACGUCGCGUGAGGGAAUAAGGCCCUACGGGUCGUAAACCUCUUUUGCCGGGGAGCAAGGGCCGGGACGCGUCCCGGCCCGGAGAGUACCCGGAGAAAAAGCAUCGGCUAACUCCGUGCCAGCAGCCGCGGUAAUACGGAGGAUGCGAGCGUUAUCCGGAUUUAUUGGGUUUAAAGGGUGCGUAGGCGGGCUUUUAAGUCAGCGGUAAAAAUUCGG